rnacentral:rRNA from 1 species
UGGGGAAUAUUGCACAAUGGGCGCAAGCCUGAUGCAGCCAUGCCGCGUGUAUGAAGAAGGCCUUCGGGUUGUAAAAGUACUUUCAGCGGGGAGGAAGGUGAUAAGGUUAAUAACCUUGUCGAUUGACGUUACCCGCAGAAGAAGCACCGGCUAACUCCGUGCCAGCGCCGCGGUAAUACGGAGGGUGCAAGCGUUAAUCGGAAUUACUGGGCGUAAAGCGCACGCAGGCGGUCUGUCAAGUCGGAUGUGAAAUCCCCGGGCUCAACCUGGGAACUGCAUUCGAAACUGGCAGGCUGGAGUCUUGUAGAGGGGGUAGAAUUCCAGGUGUAGCGGUGAAAUUGCGUAGAGAUCUGGAGGAAUACCGGUGGCGAAGGCGGCCCCCCUGGACAAAGACUGACGCUCAGGUGCGAAAGCGUGGGACAAACA